rnacentral:lncRNA from 1 species
UGCCUCCAUCUUUUUUUUUUCUUUUUUUUUUCAGUUUUUUGGAAGCCGGCCUAAAAAUGUGCCUGUCGCAGAUGUUUGGACAGAAGGUGUUUGCAUGCUGUUCAUUUAUACGCUGCCAUACGGGACACAGUAUGACCACCACAAUAACCAAAAAACACUGGGAAAAGAUUCGAUUUGGUGCCACAGAGGGAACCUUCUGAAUCUACAACAGCCGGAGGAACUUUAAACAACAUUCUCAAACAACCCCUGGGAGGUCCCUCACAUAAUCACCAAAAGAACAUUUCGAAUAUAUUUAUUAGGAAUGGAUCCAUAAACGUGUUGCUACAGGAUUCAAAGAGCUGCUAUGGAGAAAGCGGCUCUGUAGACUUGCUGCUCACGACCGGUCCAGCCUUAAAAGGGAACAGGUUCAGAUGUUCUUUUGGAGACGACUGCAUGCAGCGCUGAGAGGCACCCCAGCCCUCCACCCCGCACCCCGACGCACCAAUCAGCUGUCUCUGAGCACCUUCAUUAGGUAAUUGCGCUGUACGUUAUAGAUCAUAAUUGUCUAAUCUUUGUUUGC